rnacentral:rRNA from 1 species
CCUACGGGUGGCAGCAGUGAGGAAUAUUGGUCAAUGGGCGGAAGCCUGAACCAGCCAAGUAGCGUGCGGGAUGAAGGCCCUACGGGUCGUAAACCUCUUUUGUCAGGGAACAAAGACUGGGACGCGUCCCCGGAUGAGUGUACCUGAAGAAAAAGCAUCGGCUAACUCCGUGCCAGCAGCCGCGGUAAUACGGAGGAUGCGAGCGUUAUCCGGAUUUAUUGGGUUUAAAGGGUGCGCAGGCGGUCUGUUAAGUCAGCGGUCAAAGCCCGGGGCUCAACCCCGGCCCGCCGUUGAAACUGGCAGUCUCGAGUUGGAGAGAAGUAUGCGGAAUGCGCGGUGUAGCGGUGAAAUGCAUAGAUAUCGCGCAGAACUCCGAUUGCGAAGGCAGCAUGCCGGCUCCACACUGACGCUGAGGCACGAAAGCGUGGGUAUCGAACAGGAUUAGAUACCCUGGUAGUC